rnacentral:lncRNA from 1 species
GAAGGAGAAGGAAAAAAAAUCCUAGCUUUAGGGGAACGAGAUUGAUCACUGAAGAAAUGCUAGCUCCUUUGCUAGGCAAGAAUGAAAUUAUCUCGAUCCGUAAAAGUAAAAAAAGGCUUCGAUUUUUUUAUAGCUAAGCUAAGAAUAGAUAGAAAGGGGGAGCCGCUAGGCGAGAGGGCUAGACGCACCUGCAUUUAUAUGACCAGA